AGGUCACUGAGCAUAUGCUUCCCUUUGGGCAUCCAAUACGCUUAUCAUCCAGCUUGAACGGCUACAGUAUUGUUGUCUUAGAAUCACACUAGGGAGCAUCUACACACAACAUGUCGCUAGAAAUGAUGACUGGAAUGAUGUCACUCAAUGGCCGUUUUGAAAUGCUGUCGCUUCGCCUUCUAGUACGUUGUUCAUUAUCAAAUCCCUUGAUUAUGGGAAAUUUUAAAGCCCUUCUAGAGACAACUUCUAAUAGCAAAAUCUUCAAGAUCUGGGGAGAUUUUGUUGCCCUUCAAAUGCAUCCCAGCGCUCUACAGGUAUUAAAUCGUGCUAUCCCUUCCUGAGACCGUCUUCUUUUUCAUGGUUAAAUGACCUCUAAGGUCAUGCCGGCCAUUUCUGGGCUACUAAACAUAUUUUUACCACAUAACCAGAUAGUCAGCUCUUGCUACGAAGGGACGGUCGAGAUGGGAUUUAAUUCCCGUUCCUAUCGUGGGGAGGAGGCGACGUAUUACACAUACACCAUUGGGCCAUUAAGCCGUCAUCAUUAAGUGUACAUAAAAAAUAAAAUAAACAAUCCAAUUGAUUAUACUACACUAAAGCCUAUCGUUACGUACACAUAAAUAAAUUCAAUAACUACACCCUUUCAUGCGUCCGGUUCCGAUUUUACUUUGAAACCCAUACAUCCAAAAUUCGUAUAUAUAAUGUCGUGAUUACGUUGAUCUUCACACACAAAAAAAAGCAGUUUGAUUACUCUUAUCAUCUGCUUAUUCGGUUUUUUCGGCAUAGUUCGCUUCAAUCCAACGAGUGUGAUUACCGAUCAGUCAGUCUGGUUUAGGCAACAUGUUCAAGAUGACGUGGUCCAGUGCUGUGUUCGUUGUUAUUCUCGGUUAUAUUUCAUUAUUGUAGUGUGAGUGAUAAUUAGUUAACAAAUUACCAUUACAUCAAAUUUCUAAAUUGAAUUCGAAACAUUUCGCAGAUACCGAUGAGAUACAAUACCCAGAACACGGACAUUCAACAGAAGGUGAUUUCGGUCAAAGGAACAAACGACAAGAAUUUGAAGUAAAUUCGUCGUCCACAGAAGAUAAUGGCAUUAGAUUGUUACAAGAAAUACCGAUGAUGGUGGUGAUUGGAAAUGAUAAAGAAGAAGGAUGUGGAAGGAUCGCUAUCAACGAGCGCAUUACUGUUACUAGUGCCCUGUCUACAAGAAACAUGUAAUAUAAUAUUCGUAAAGCAUCCUAUCGUUGUCUGAAUUUUAAUAAUCGGUUUAUUUUCUUUACAAAAUGCAGCAAUUUAACAGUGGCUAUUCUUACGAAAAUAAACUUCCGCAAAGUCAUCGAUCAUGCUGCCUAUCUUUUUAAGGAUAGGCUGAACGAACUGCAAUACCGUGUGAGUCAUGUGAUUAAGCAUCCUGAUUUAAAUGAAACCCUGAAAACGUGUGAUAUUGCAGUAUUGAAACUCACGGAACCCAUUGAUAUCGCUGUGCCUUCUUGUUUAUGGCUUGAUAACAGUAAAAUUCUUUCUAAGCCAAUAAUUGUUGAAUGGAGGUAUCUGUAUACAAAAACGUUUUCAAGAAAAAGGUUGCAGAAUAUAAUGGAUAAUAUUGAUUGCAUGCGUUACCUGCAACCUAUUCCACCACUUAAUAGAAAAUAUUAGGUAGAGGCUUAUCACAGAUGCACUUUUUCACGAGCAAACUCCCUAAGUGUAAGAACUAGACCCGCGGCGGAAAGCUCCCUUUAAAACAUGUCGUUUCAAAGAAGCAAAUGUAACUGUAACCUCCUUCAAUAGUGCCCUUGGGAUCAACGCAUUGAAAUCAGCAGCAGUUUAAAGACUUGCCGCAGGAAUGUCCAUUGAAUUAAUUGCAGUUUGAGGGGUAUUUGUGAUAUAACUUUCAAACUUCAUAAUAUUGUAUUUUUUGUAUUAAGCUGCGGUAUUUUAUUUCUCUCCCAUUUUCUUGUAGGCACAUUGUCUUCCUAAUUCUUAUAGUUAUUUCAGUUGAAUAUAGUUGAGUAUAGAGUAUAGUAUAGUUCAGUUGAGACGAAAAAGUUCCAUUCGCCAUGCAAAAUAUAUGGCAUAUCCGGGUAUGCCGGUCGUAGACUUGAGGGUGUAAAUUAGGUUGUAGAAAUUAUGGUUAAAACUAAGGGACGAGGAACUUGGGAUAUGGGAUAAGAAAUAAGGUUAAUAUGGUUUUCGGUUAGAAUGUUUUACAGAUUUUCUUUUGUACCAUAAGCUGAACUAUAUGUUAUUCCGUAGUUCCAAGUUCACCAUCAAUCCAGUACUCCAAAGAUCUUCUAGGAACGAUUGAUUACAAAUGUGAAUUCGUCCUGGAAAACAAAGAAAUUGCAAUGUAUGCAACUCCACAUCAUAUCAAAAGGCAAUACUCCUCCAAACGAUCCUGGGGUUUCAUAUACACUUACCUGAAUAUCGUCCUGAGGACAACAUACAACUGAUGUGAUCUUGCAGAAAAAUAAUGGUACAUUUAUCAGAAAGCUUCAAAUUAGGCAUGGUGUACACAACUGACUCUCUGGGAGGAGAAUCUAUGAUCGAAUUUAUCCAGGUUUCGUGAGCCAAAAAAAGGACAAUUAUUGCCGGUUCUCCAAAGCCACAGUUUCGUCCAGACAUGUACAAUCCUGGAGAGCUGCCGAUGUCAUCCGAGAGAACAACUGGAGAUCCUGGAACAGCUUCGCAGCUCCCCGGGACUAGAAGAAACUGAUCAUUUUGAAGACACACAUGUUCGAACUGUAGCCCUUGAGUA